rnacentral:rRNA from 1 species
ACGCUGGCGGCGUGCCUAAUACAUGCAAGUAGAACGCUGAAGAGAGGAGCUUGCUCUUCUUGAAUGAGUUGCGAACGGGUGAGUAACGCGUAGGUAACCUGCCUUGUAGCGGGGGAUAACUAUUGGAAACGAUAGCUAAUACCGCAUAACAAUGGGUGACACAUGUCAUUUAUUUGAAAGGGGCAAUUGCUCCACUACAAGAUGGACCUGCGUUGUAUUAGCUAGUAGGUGAGGUAACGGCUCACCUAGGCGACGAUACAUAGCCGACCUGAGAGGGUGAUCGGCCACACUGGGACUGAGACACGGCCCAGACUCCUACGGGAGGCAGCAGUAGGGAAUCUUCGGCAAUGGGGGCAACCCUGACCGAGCAACGCCGCGUGAGUGAAGAAGGUUUUCGGAUCGUAAAGCUCUGUUGUAAGUCAAGAACGAGUGUGAGAGUGGAAAGUUCGCACUGUGACGGUAGCUUACCAGAAAGGGACGGCUAACUACGUGCCAGCAGCCGCGGUAAUACGUAGGUCCCGAGCGUUGUCCGGAUUUAUUGGGCGUAAAGCGAGCGCAGGCGGUUUGAUAAGUCUGAAGUUAAAGGCUGUGGCUCAACCAUAGUUCGCUUUGGAAACUGUCAAACUUGAGUGCAGAAGGGGAGAGUGGAAUUCCAUGUGUAGCGGUGAAAUGCGUAGAUAUAUGGAGGAACACCGGUGGCGAAAGCGGCUCUCUGGUCUGUAACUGACGCUGAGGCUCGAAAGCGUGGGGAGCGAACAGGAUUAGAUACCCUGGUAGUCCACGCCGUAAACGAUGAGUGCUAGGUGUUGGAUCCUUUCCGGGAUUCAGUGCCGCAGCUAACGCAUUAAGCACUCCGCCUGGGGAGUACGACCGCAAGGUUGAAACUCAAAGGAAUUGACGGGGGCCCGCAC